rnacentral:rRNA from 1 species
UACGGGGGGGGUAAGCGUUGUUCGGAAUUACUGGGCGUAAAGGGCUCGUAGGCGGCCAACUAAGUCAGACGUGAAAUCCCUCAGCUUAACUGGGGAACUGCGUCUGAUACUGGAUGGCUUGGAUUCGGGAGAGGAAUGCGGAAUUCCAGGUGUAGCGGUGAAAUUCGUAGAUAUUAGGAAGAACACCGGUGGCGAAGGCGGCCCACUGGAUCGGUACUGACGCUGAGGUGCGAAAGCGUGGGGAGCAAACAGG